CUCCAGGAUAGAAGACUCUGUGGAACUGGUUUUGGGCAGAAAAGCCAUGCUUCCUUUGGUCACAAAGGACUACGAUCUAUCUUUUGAACCACUGGACCAAUUUUGAUGAUUUUGACAUAUGUUUGUAUUUGGAGUAUGCUGAUUCUGAAAAUGUAACCUUGUAUGUACAUUUAUGUGAAUGUGAUGCAUACUUUUCAAGUUAUGAAUAAUGUGGACAAAUUGUAUUUCUCUGCUUGUUAUAAUUACAUUACCCAUUGUGUAAGGUAAUUGUAUCACAGGCAGAGGGGAGGAUUUUGUGUGGGAGUGCCUGAGUGUAUUGUACGUGUUUAUUGGUUGUUUUCCAAAACCCUGUGGGUGGUACUAAUGUGUAUAUAAGAACAAUAAACCCACAGCUCUGUCUGUUCCUGCUUGACCCUCAACACGGAGCUUUGUCUCGUUCUUGGGGGGAUUUAUUGUAUGCUGUUCCAGUUUGACUGCUAGGAGUGUAAACCUAUUCGUAUGGUUUCCUAUUCGACUGUGUACAGCAUUCAUAUGGUUCCGGUUCGGCUGUUUACGGCAUUCAUAUGCUUUUCCUGUUCGGCAGAUUGGUGUUCUGCAGUAGCUGUGCCUUUGCAUCUAAAAGGGGAAUAUCGCCUAAACGGUUUUUAACCUCUUGUGGGCAAAACAGUCCGUUACAGUACCUCCAACAAAACCAAUGUUUAAACAUUAAAAAACAUAAUGUUAAUCCACACAAACAUUUAGUAGGUAACAGUGUGAGGCAACGGACAUGGACUGUUAAAAUAUUAAAAGAACUUUAUUAUAGCUUUACUGCUUCAAAAACUUCUGUGUUGAUUUUGUCUUGCUUAUGUACAGAUAACAGCUGAUACUGAGGUGAUUAGUUCAACUAAACAUUUUUAUAAAGAGGGUUUGAAAAUUCUGAAUAAAACUCCAGGAAUAAUAAACUGAAAAGUUGGGUAUACAAAAU